rnacentral:rRNA from 1 species
UACGAAGGGGGCUAGCGUUGUUCGGAUUUACUGGGCGUAAAGCGCACGUAGGCGGAUUGUUAAGUCAGGGGUGAAAUCCCGGAGCUCAACUCCGGAACUGCCUUUGAUACUGGCAAUCUUGAGGCUGGAAGAGGUUAGUGGAAUUCCCAGUGUAGAGGUGAAAUUCGUAGAUAUUCGGAAGAACACCAGUGGCGAAGGCGACUUACUGGACACAUAUUGACGCUGAGGUGCGAAAGCGUGGGGAGCAAACAGG